UACAGAGGUCCCAAGCGUUGUUCGGAUUCAUUGGGCGUAAAGGGUGCGUAGGCGGCGCGGUAAGUCGGGUGUGAAAUCUCGGAGCUUAACUCCGAAACUGCAUUCGAUACUGCCGUGCUUGAGGACUGGAGAGGAGACUGGAAUUUACGGUGUAGCGGUGAAAUGCGUAGAUAUCGUAAGGAAGACCAGUGGCGAAGGCGGAUCUCUGGACAGUUCCUGACGCUGAGGCACGAAGGCCAGGGGAGCAAACGGG
rnacentral:rRNA from 1 species